UACGAAGGGGGCGAGCGUUGUUCGGAAUUACUGGGCGUAAAGGGCGCGCAGGCGGCUCUGCAAGUCAGGCGUGAAAGCCCCGGGCUUAACCUGGGAAUUGCGCUUGGGACUGUGGGGCUUGAGUUCGGGAGAGGAGAGUGGAAUUCCCAGUGUAGAGGUGAAAUUCGUAGAUAUUGGGAAGAACACCGGUGGCGAAGGCGGCUCUCUGGACCGAUACUGACGCUGAGGCGCGAAAAGCGUGGGGAGCAAACGGGG
rnacentral:rRNA from 1 species